UUCAAAAAUUUAUCGAUUUUUGUCAAAAAAUAAUCGAAAUACCGACAAUCGAAACAUAUGUUUUUAUCCAAAAAGUAAACAAAACAAUUGUUUGCCGCUUCAUUAAAAGUUGAAAAAAAUUAUGGAUACGUGUUUUUUUGUAUUAUCCUCUUCGGAAGAUGAGGACGGUAAUAAUAUAAAUAUAAUAAGAAGACAAAUUCGAGAACGUAGUGACCCCUUAUCAUUGUCAGAAAAUGCAUUCCGUCAACGAUUUAGACAGACAAAAGAUGCUUUUCGAUAUGUGUAUCUAGACUAGAUUUCUCCGGACAUAUGUCAUCGUCCAUUCCGGCAGUUCUACAAUUGGCAUCAACUUUGUCACUCUUGGAAGAAGUGGAAGUUUUCAGCACACUGUGGGUAAUGAUUUUCUUAUAGGAAUGAGCCAAAGCGCAACCUGCAGGGUUGCCCAGCGAGUCGCAAAAGAAAUGGAACUAAAACUUUGUCCAGAACACAUCAACUUUUCACCAGACCAGUCGGCUUUGUGUAUGGAACAUUUCUGUACAAAGUUUCGGAUUCCUGGAGAUGGAACACAUUUCGGAUUGCAGAAACCCACCGAAAACGAACACAUGUUCUUCAACCGAAAGGGAUACCAUAAUUUGGUUGUCAACUGC